rnacentral:rRNA from 1 species
UACGUAGGGCGCGAGCGUUGUCCGGAAUUAUUGGGCGUAAAGAGCUCGUAGGCGGCCGGUUGCGUCUGCUGUGAAAUCCCGGGGCUUAACCCCGGGCGUGCAGUGGAUACGGGCCGGCUGGAGGCAGGCAGGGGAGAAUGGAAUUCCCGGUGUAGCGGUGAAAUGCGCAGAUAUCGGGAGGAACACCGGUGGCGAAGGCGGUUCUCUGGGCAUGUCCUGACGCUGAGACGCGAAAGCGUGGGGAGCGAACAGG